CGGAGGAUGCGAGCGUUAUCCGGAUUUAUUGGGUUUAAAGGGUGCGCAGGCGGCGCGCCAAGUCAGCGGUCAAAGUUCCGGGCUCAACCCGGUGUCGCCGUUGAAACUGGCGUGCUCGAGUGCGUGCGAGGAAGGCGGAAUGCGCUGUGUAGCGGUGAAAUGCAUAGAUAUGACGCAGAACUCCGAUUGCGAAGGCAGCUUUCCAGCGCGCUACUGACGCUGAGGCACGAAAGCGUGGGAUCGAACAGGAUU
rnacentral:rRNA from 1 species